UGAGGACCAAACACUCCUCUGAAAUGGUUGAAGACAGAGGGAAUUGUAUAAGCACAAUCUGGACUGCUAUGAGUCUGCUGAAUGUGAUCUGUUAAAAUUUAUAUUGCUGCUUUCCCAUUAAUUCUGAAGACAGUAAAUGGAAAGGUUGAGUUUGUUCUAAGUGUGUCAGAUGUAGCCAUUUCCUCACCAUCUCAAGGAGGCAGAAAUGUCUACACUUGGACAGGUAGGCAAAAUCACGAUCCAAAAGCAAAGAAGGGGAUUUUGGUAGUAUUAUGAAGCACUUCUUUAGAAGCUUUGCAAGAGAAUUAUUUUAAGAACUGGGAUUUCUGUUUCCAAUUAUAAAAACCUUAAGAAGUUAUUAGAAAAUGCAAAGCUGUGUACAUCAGCUUCAGAGGCACUGUGACUAAUUUAUGUGUGUGUAUGGGAAAAGGUGAGGUGCCUUAUCCUUGCAAUCUUUAUUUUUCUGAUGGGCCAGUUCUUUCUGCAGGUUCUGGCCCCAGAUCCAGCAUGUUACUUAAUAACCUGAAGAUUCCUGGUGGCAGAAGCAAGAGUUAAAGCAAAAAAAUGGCAGAGGACCUAGAUCCUAGUGAUACCAUGGUGGCUUGAGUGUUCUCUGCUCAGUGCAUGUCUCUGCUUCUGGAAGGGGACGAACAGCUUUCUUUUGGGAGAAUAGCUGCUCUCCUUUGCCGUUCCUGGGCUGGCACUGCUCACCAGUCUCUGAGCAAGAAAUCCAAGCCAAACACCACGUCCAGUGGUUCCUGUCUGGAGAGGACAUGGGUCUUCCACAUUCAGCUGUACUGAAGAAGAUUAUAAUAAAAUAAAAAUGAAUACAAGAUUUUGUUGUUAU
rnacentral:lncRNA from 1 species